GACGAACGCUGGCGGCGUGCUUAACACAUGCAAGUCGAACGGAAAGGCCCCUUUGGGGGUCCUCGAGUGGCGAACGGGUGAGUAACACGUGAGUAACCUGCCCUUGACUUCGGGAUAACUUCAGGAAACUGGGGCUAAUACCGGAUAGGAAUCCUUGCUGCAUGGUGGGGGUUGGAAAGCUUCGGCGGUUUUGGAUGGACUCGCGGCGUAUCAGCUUGUUGGUGGGGUAGUGGCUUACCAAGGCUUUGACGGGUAGCCGGCCUGAGAGGGCGACCGGCCACAUUGGGACUGAGAUACGGCCCAGACUCCUACGGGAGGCAGCAGUGGGGAAGAUUGCACAAGGGGCGGGAGCCUGAUGCAGCAGCGCCGCGUGCGGGAUGACGGCCUUCGGGCUGGAAACCGAUUUCAGCAGGGGCGAAGCUUGUGGUGACGGUACCUGCAGAAGAAGCACCGGCUAACUACGUG
rnacentral:rRNA from 1 species